ensembl:lncRNA
UUUUCAGUAGAAAAAAGUUCCUUAACUUCCUUAACUUUCCUUAACGUCCCAUUAUACUGAGAGAGUAUAACACUGAAGCAAAAUCUGUGUCCCUUUCAAACAUGAAAUUUCCACUGGUAACAGUGGGGAAAAAAGCAGAUUGCCACUUUGAUGGGAAAUACUCCAAGAACAGCUUGAAAUAAACCCAGUAGGUUGAUGGACAUGACAGGUCUUUAUUGGCCAACAGACCAAUACUUUGGCCAGUAGGGACGAAUGAUGGCUAUAUGAGAUCAGCAAAAGCAUGAAAAAGUGUUUACCACUAACGUUCAACAGAUAAAAUAACCCAGAGCAUUCUCAUUCCCUCUUGAGCUUGUGGAAGAAUUAAAAUGCCUCUAAUGCUGCUAAAAGCCACACGCAUCUCCCCAGUCACACAUUAAACAGCAGGAAGCUGACAAAAGGCCACUCAGCCCUUCAGUAACACCUCGUUCAUGGAAUUUCCUUUCAGCAGGACUGUCCUCACUCUUGUUCUUUCACACCCACCACCCAGCUGAUCCACAGCUCCCAUGACAUUUACCAUGCGUCUUCCCUUGCACACUUCAUGCCGGGACACUGUAUCUUUCCCAGGGCCAAGUGAAAUCUUCCUGCUUUUGGGGGCAAUGAAGUCUCUCACCACCAAGUGCUGCUUGACUCUUUUCCUUCCCCAGGGAAGGGAAAGAAAGGAGUGAAAAUGUUUCAUCCAGCAUCUUGCUUCAUUUGAGGAAGGUGAGCCAGAUGAGCAAGGGUCUCCAGCACUCAUACCCAGUUUUUCUCUGUUUUUUCAUCCUUCUAACUUCACUAAGACCUACCCAAACCAGCACAGCCCCCCUUAACACAGCAGGACCUAAAAUCAUGGCUUUUCUUGAUCAGAGUUUCUAUGUUAGCAAUGCCUGGCUCAGUCAGGGCUUGUAUUUUAAUUAGAAUCUCUAGUGGCAAAAUAAUACAAGAAUAAUCCCAGCAAGAGCCUUGCCUCUGGCAUCCAGAGAUAAUACAGACAUCUCAGGUGCUCUCUGGUCUGUAUCCAUUUAUUAUUAUUUUUUAUCUUGCAGCAUCAGCUACAUUUCCCUAAAGCUGAGAGAAAAUAGCCCCACAAAUAAGCAUGAUGAAAUAUUCUUGAUGUCCUGAAGAGGGUAUAUGGUCAUGGAAAUGUAGAAUCAUUAAGGUUGUAGAAAAGACCACUAGGAUAUACCUGUCCAACCACCAACCCACCACUACCAUUCCCACUAAUCAUGUCUCUCUGUGCCUUUCCUUUUCAUGAAUACCUCCAGGGACAGUGACCCUACCAUCUCUCCAGGCAGCCUGUUAGAAUGCUUCACAACCUUCUCUAUGAAGAAGUUUUUUCUAGCAUUCAACCUGAACCUCCCCUGCAAUAGCUUGAAGCCAUUACUUAUUGUCCUGGUCAUGGAUCUGUAUCUCACUGCCUACAUUCAAGAAAUUAAUGUGCAGAGGAGCUCUGAAGGAGUUUUUCUGUUUGUGAUCUGUGCCUGGACAUAGGGAUGAGUGAUACAUGGCAGUGGUGCCCUGAUCUCCAAGGAAUGGCCAUUUAUUUGGCCAGGACACAAAUCAGCUUCUGUUCUCAGCUUUUUGCAGCAGGACCUGUGUCCAAGCUGGUUUUGUACAACACUGAGUACAGUGGAGUUUUGUCUACUAGUUUGGUCCAUAGGAGACACCAGGAUAGCACCAGUAAUAAUCAGUUAUUGUCUGCUGCCCUGAAAGACCUACUGGGUUAUUUAAGGUAUACUGAGGCUCUUCCUGGGGCUGGUGUAUUUAAGUACCACUCUUAAGGCAUUUUAGCUUUUUGCACCCAAGAACAUUUCUAAGUCAUUUCAGUGGAGGUUGAAAUCACAUCUGCACUAAAGUUCAGUUGUAGAUACACAACUGCAUUUGACAUCAAAUCAGGAAAUUACUCUUACACAAGGUUUUAAAGCAUCUCUCAGUGUUAUCAAAGCCAUUUUGCUAUGCACACAGAAUUGUUUUCUUUUCUGAUACCAUAACGCCAAAAAUAAGAUCUGGAUAUGCAGAUGGAAAAAGAAAGGAGGAAAAUGCAACAAUUAAAUAGGAGUGCCAACAGACACACUUUAGGCAGUUGCAGUAAAGCUUUACCUCACUGGCUUAGGCCAAUCCUCCCUGCCUGUAAACUAGUCAGGACUGUGGUUUAACAGUUUUGCAGAACCUGUGAGGUAAAGAGAAAGGGCAAGAGCCUCCUCCAGCAUUCGUGCUGGUGGCCUUGUCCUGCUCUGUCUCUUUUUCUCUGAUCUGCUAACAGGAGCUUUCUGUGGAAGAACAGAGAGGUAUGAAAGUGAAGAUGAUUCACUGGUGCCUGUGCACUUACGUUAUAACAAAUGAAGCAGAAGGAACCUAAUAUAAAGUUCUGUGAAGUGAGGGUAAAAACCAACCCCAGGUGUUCUGUUUAAAACCACUUUCUUUUGGAUAUUUUGUACCUUGCGGAGGUCAGGAAAUAUUUCCUAGCUCCUACAGUGCAGCUUCUUCUAAUGGAUUUGUGCAUGGAAAUCACGGGUUUCUAGAUACUUAUGAAGUGCUGGCUGACUCUUAACUAAGCACGUUGCUUUCUUUGAAGCUGCCAAAUUGCACUAAAAGUAGUUAAAGGCACAGGAAAUGUUUCCUUUUUCCAUUUAGGUGAUUGCUGUCCUUGCCCCGGGGAUGUUAUAUGAGCACGAGUGGGAGGGACCCAGAUCCACAGGGUAGGAAAAUGUUAAAUAGCCCCAGAGCUGGUGAAGCAUCCUGCCUCCCAUUUCAGCCAGGCACCUCCUGUAAUCUGUCAGCUGUCCACUGCCUGCUAUGGACCAGCACCAUUAGGAACAUGAAAGAGGAAAACAAACAUGCACAAAACCCAAGAAAACAAAGCAAACAGGAUUCAUGGUCUGGUGAUUAAAAGGCAAAUGCUGAGGAAUCAGGAGAACUCACUUCUCUUGUAGGCCGUGUCUUUGUAAAGCUCUUUGGUUAGCAUCUCCUCCUUGUGCCUCAGUUUACUCAGCUAUAGAAAGGGGAUGAUUACAGUGUAUCACAAAAUUGUAAAAUCAUUAAGGUUGGAAAAGACAACUAAGAUGUUCAUAGCCACAGCAUCCCAGUUUGCCCCUUCCCUGGUUUUGUCACCAGUGUCAACAAACCUGACCCAACACUACUUCACACAUUCAAGAUACCAUCAUAUCAUGGUAACAGCAAUUUGAACAAAUGAAGAUAACCUUGAAAUGGUGUAAGAGUACCACGAUCACUUCUCUCUUGAUUAGAAAUGCUGUUUUGGUUGUGUUUUUUUGCUCACACCCUCUAACCAAGUGAGAUAAUCAAAAACAUUUGUUGAAGUCCUAACCUCAGCACAGUGUCAGCAAAAUUAGUGACCCAUCACCUUAUUCUUACCUGCAACAGGUCUAGAAGCACCAGCAAAUGUUCUAUUUCUCCUUCAAGCACAUUGUGACUUUCAAAUUUAAACCUUGAGUAUUUACGUUUCUCUGAAUCUUUGGCCUUUCUAGAGCAUUUUGUAAAUUACAAAGAUUUCUAUGCCAAAAAAAUGAAUUGGUUUCAUUACAGAGAUCCCUCCUUUGGUGUGUUCAAAGCAUUUCUCUCCUAUCAUUACUAAGCUGAGAAUUAUGGAGUCACAUGUAUUUUAUCAGAAGAGGCAUGCACCUUCUGUGCAAAACAGGAAAUUUUUGUCAAGAACUUUAAAACCUUCACAUUUCCAAAAUAAACCUCUGAAAGUAUUCCAUCUAAAAAAAAAAGAGUUUUCAGUUUUCCUUUUUUUUUUUUUUUUUUUCUUUUUUUACAAUAGAAACACUUUUUUAAUUAGAGGACAUAGCAAUAAUAACUCAAUUCCUGGAAAAAUUCAAUUACACUUAUCACAAUGGGAGCUGCAGAGCACUACCAUUGUAUAAUGUACCUAACAAUAUAUUAAUGUCUGCCUUUAUUCACUGCUUAGAAUAUUGCCUGCCCAAAGCAGAAGUCCAAAUUGCCACUGAAAAAUAGAGCUGAAUUUUUUUCUUUACAUUCUUACUGGGAAGACACCUGGACCUGGAUUUAUUCCAUCUAAAAACAUGAGCUUGUCUUCACUGCCCACAAUUAAGUGCCAAGUGUCACUUGAGAAGCCCUGUGUCAUAUUUUCCAGCAUCUGGAGAUGGCUUAGAUACUCAGAGUGUCUCAAUAAGCUCAAAAUUCCUAUGCACUGGCAACUGAGACUUGGAUGACUAGGAAUAUAUUUUAUCUCAAUUGAGUUUACACAUCUACUAUGCUAAGGUACUUCCUAGAGUACUCCUAUAGUCAACAGAGAAAGAAACAGACAAGUCAGGACCAUUACACAUAACAAAAUGAGAUACCUUUAGAAUGGUGGAAUACACUUUACAGAGGGAGCCAAUAAAGCUAUCUUUCUAUUGUGAUAAAUCAUGCAAUCAUAAUUUGGCUUUGAAAAGUUAUAUGGAGAUCAUAGGUUCAACUCCUCAAUCAAAGCAGAGUCAUCACUGAACUUAAAUAGUCUCAUCUGAUCAAGUUUUGGAUAUCUCUAAAGAUGGACAUUUCACAGCCUCAUUGGAUCUCUAUUCCACUGUUUGACCACCUUCAAGGAGAAAAAAAAAAAAAAACUGAUAUCUUAGCAAUUUCCUGCAUCUGUUAUCUUAAACCUUUUCCUGUGCAGCUCUGAGAAGGUUGUGGCUGUCGUCCCUGCAUGUUCCCAUAGCUGCAUUAACUAGUGGUAUAAGAUAAGUGAUGACUAGGACCCAGGACGCUCAGCCUCACCUUUUAUGCUGUAUAUUCCAGUAGGAAUUCCAUCUUGGUCACCCUCCUCUGGAUUUGUUCCAGUACAUUAGUCCUAUAUUUGAUAUUUAAUGUUAGAGGAGACAAAUUCCCUUCCACCUAUCCUCUUGGUGUAUAACCAAAGGUUACGGCACUAUAGGCAUAUUCUUACACUCACAUAGAAAAAAGCACAGAUCUCAAUGAUGAAGGAGUUUCUAAACAGGAGUUUAAUUCAGAAUACCAAAUGUAUUUUACUUUACACUCUUUUUCACAGCAUAUAUUUUAUGAACUCUUUUUAGAUCUUUGUAGAUGAUGGUACUUAAGAUCCCUUAAAAAGCUCAUUUCCAUUGUAGAUGUCCUAGAAUCUGUGAUUAUUAAUGACUAAAAAGGAGAAUUUGUAGGUACUGUAGGUUUACCUCAUACUCUCAAAAAUCUUCACAGCAAAGGCCUUGUAGACGUCACUUUAUUAUUAACAUAUAAUCCUUUGCUCUGCUGGUAACAAUCUAGUACCACACAGCUCUGAGGACAGAGGGACCACUGUUAAAACUCUAUGAGAAAUACAAAAGGCAUGACUUUUUCUCAGAAAAGAAGAAAGAAGUAAACAAGCAGUGAUGUAAAUGUGUAGACUACCUUGCAUGGAAAAGUGGAAGACUGUAAAAGAAAAGCAUGCUUGGUAACUGUGUAGUCAUUGAACUGCCAGUAAAAAACAAUGGGAAAGGAGAAAAAUAAAAAAAGGUGCUUUUACUAGAAUGAAGUACUGGGUCUCUUUGCCCACCAAAAGAGUAAUAAUAGCCAAUCUGGGAAUGCUAAACUCUUUGAACUGUGUCUAAGUACCACCUCUGUUUACUUUAAGGAAGGAAACUGUCAGGUUCUGUUUGUUCAUUGUGAGCCAUCCACAAUGUGAGCCCUUGUCGUGAGCCAUCACAAUUCACAACUAGUGAAAUAGUGGAACAUCAAGUAUAGGAAACAAGAGGUUUAUCAUGGGAUUAGACUUAGAGAGAUAAAAGUCAUCAUGGAUUUGCUCGGAACUUCUUGUUUGCUGUGAAACUUGACUACAGGAACUACAGGAGGCUCAUCUUGUUUCUCGGAGCCAGAGAUCACAGAUACAGCAAAGCUGGAAUAGUUCCUUCUCCUUCCCUUCCUGCUAGCAAGUUAGAGGACAUCACUUGCCUCCAUUACAGGAAGAAGAGUCUCUCCAUAUCUACACACAAGGAAGAGCCAGAGAGGACUUUAGCUGGAUACCCAUGGAGAUUAAGAUGAAGCAGAGCUACAGGACAAGCUCCCACACACCUCCAGCACCUCCAGAAAUCUGGGAAAAUCAAGAGCAUUUCAGGCUUAUGCAAGAGUAGACCCAAGUAGAGUGUGCAGCAAGAAACUUUGUUAACCCAUCAGUAAAGGUUGGCAGGUCCCCUCUGCACUUUCUCAGGAAGUUUUGUAUAAACAUAAGCUCAUUUGUGGUCACUGAGUUUGAAACGAUUAUUCCC